AAAAAUAUGUAGUGCAAACCACAUAUAUAGUGGAAACUUGAAAACUACCGUUGGAUCGAGAAAUGGACGUCCGAGAUUCGUCCAUGUCAUCAUCAGUUAAAAUUUAACUCGCAGAUUAACUCAUGAGUUAAAAUUUUACUUGGAGUUAAAUUUUAACUCAUGGUGACGUAGACGAAUCUUAGACGUCCAUUUCUCGAUCCAGUGGUAGUUUCUAAAUUUUCACUACAUAUGUGAUUUGCACUACAUAUUUUCUCUGUUUG
rnacentral:misc_RNA from 1 species